rnacentral:rRNA from 1 species
GACGUGCUAAUCUGCGAUAAGCGUCGGUAAGGUGAUAUGAACCGUUAUAACCGGCGAUUUCCGAAUGGGGAAACCCAGUGUGAUUCGUCACACUAUCAUUAACUGAAUCCAUAGGUUAAUGAGGCGAACCGGGGGAACUGAAACAUCUAAGUACCCCGAGGAAAAGAAAUCAACCGAGAUUCCCCCAGUAGCGGCGAGCGAACGGGGAGCAGCCCAGAGCCUGAAUCAGUGUGUGUGUUAGUGGAAGCGUCUGGAAAGGCGUGCGAUACAGGGUGACAGCCCCGUACACAAAAAUGCACAUACUGUGAGCUCGAUGAGUAGGGCGGGACACGUGGUAUCCUGUCUGAAUAUGGGGGGACCAUCCUCCAAGGCUAAAUACUCCUGACUGACCGAUAGUGAACCAGUACCGUGAGGG